UAAACAAACCUGCUUCACGCGAAUGAAAGAAAUGUGCACUUGAAUAGCAGAUGCAGACUAAUAAAGUAAACAUAAACAUCGCGUUUUACAAAAAUGUCACAAGAGGCGUCUGACGAAAUGUCCGUUUUAUCAGCCAUAUACUGCGGACUUGAUGAAUUCGAGCUGCUUGAAGAGUCAGCUGAUGCGGGACUGGUGUGCCGCAUCCAAACACUGAUAGAGAGAAACAACGAGAAAACGCCACUUAGCUUGGUUUUUCACAUCUCACCUGACUACCCCAACAAUCCUCCAGAUAUCAGCAUCAGUUCCAGCCAUUUAUCGAGGAAACAGUGCCAUGAGCUGAGACACAGUUUACUGGACAAAGCCCGGUCACUUCCAGCAGAGCCCAUGGUCCAUGGCUUAAUUGUUUGGCUUCAGGAAAACUUUUCUGACUUAAUCAAAACAACAAGCUGCCAUUCAGCUGAGAUCAUACCAGAAAUGAAAGAAGAAAUCUGGACGGCUUUACUACAUUUGGACCAUAUGAGAUCCAAAGCAAAAUACAUCAGACUGAUUGAAAAAUGGACCUCAGAUUUGUGUCUCACCGGUAGACUUUUUAUGGGAAAGCUCAUAUUGAUUUUGCUGCAAGGAACAAAGGAAAAUAUUAAAGAAUACAUCCACCUUCAGAAGACUGUAAAAGUUGAUGUUGAUUCAUCAGGGAAACGCUGUAAAGAGAAGAUGAUGAGUGUCCUUUGUGAGAUCCCACAAACAGAGGAGAAGAUAAUAAUGUCAACAUUUGAAGUAAAAGACAUUUUAUCACUUGAUGACCUCAAGAUGGAAUUCAACCUUCUCGGUUUAACUGAGCUUUACAACCAGUUUGUGCCUUCACUGAUCUAGCAUGGCACAGCUGCAUGUAGCGCAAACUCUCUACACUACGUGGUUUUUAACUAAACGUCUGUCAGCAUCUAUCUGGUGGAUUCCCAGCAUGCUGUUUUCUUCGGUUUUUAUAAUGACCCAAGGCCAAGCUCAGCGACCUUGUGUGCCUGUCACCUGUUGAAUAUUUUAAUUAUUGCCAAUUAAAAUGAACAAAGGGUGAGUUGAACUUAAAACCUAGUGGCAGAAUGGCAUUCUCAUUAUUGGCAAAUGAUAACUUUUAUUCUUUGCUUUUCCGGUUCUCCGUACCGAUAUGGAAUUCUGUUCAGCUGCUUUAGAUUGACAAGUCAUGCUAUUGAAAUGUAGUUUAAAGACACAAAUUACAGCAACGCAUAAGCUAUAAACUUCACAUUGAAAAGACUCAUUUGGAUGCUGCUUAAUAAUAACUGAUUGUGGUGCAUUAGGUUGGCUCUCAUGGAUCAUCAUUUUGACUCGUGUUAAUGCCUUGAUGCCAUCUGCUUGCAGAGGUGCACAUUUGUCAUUAACUGACAUUAGUUUUGGAUUCUUCAUUAUUGAGCUCAUAUUCCCAAUUAUCAUAAUAGCUAAGAUGCAGAGGCUUGUUUGCAUGCAAAGACACACUCUGGAAUAAUGUGGCGUGUGAAUGCAGCCUGCUUUUUUAAUUAGACUGAAGCGCCGUGGAUGUUUUUAAGGUGAGCGUUAAACCCGCGGGUAGUUAAGUUAACAAAAAAAGAAAUGUUUUAGGUUAAGAAUAAACACACAGUGAGGCCAAACAGGGUCAUUUGGAAAAUAGCUUUCAUUAUCUUAAGCUUAAUUUUUGGUCAAUAUUUGAA